GGAUUAGAUACCCUGGUAGUCCACGCCGUAAACGAUGUCAACUAGCUGUCUGUGUUUUAAACGUGGGUAGCGUAGCUAACGCGCUAAGUUGACCGCCUGGGGAGUACGGCCGCAAGGUUAAAACUCAAAUGAAUUGACGGGGGCCCGCACAAGCGGUGGAGCAUGUGGUUUAAUUCGAUGCAACGCGAAGAACCUUACCAUCCCUUGACAUCCAGAGAAUUUUCUAGAGAUAGAUUAGUGCCUUCGGGAACUCUGAGACAGGUGCUGCAUGGCUGUCGUCAGCUCGUGCUG
rnacentral:rRNA from 1 species